GACGAACGCUGGCGGCGUGCUUAACACAUGCAAGUCGAACGGAAAGGCCCUGCUUUUGUGGGGUGCUCGAGUGGCGAACGGGUGAGUAACACGUGAGUAACCUGCCCUUGACUUUGGGAUAACUUCAGGAAACUGGGGCUAAUACCGGAUAGGAGCUCCUGCUGCAUGGUGGGGGUUGGAAAGUUUCGGCGGUUGGGGAUGGACUCGCGGCUUAUCAGCUUGUUGGUGGGGUAGUGGCUUACCAAGGCUUUGACGGGUAGCCGGCCUGAGGGGGUGACCGGCCAAAUUGGGGACAGAGCAGCGCCCCACACCCAGCGGGGGGGAGGAGGUGGGAAUUUUUGGACAGGGGGGGAAGCCAUAUGGAACAACCCCCGAGUGGGGAAUGACGCCUUUGGGGUUUUAACCGGUUUUCCCUUGGGAAAAAGGGUGGUAGAGGUGAAGGGUGAAGGAACAGCGGGAGAACUCGA
rnacentral:rRNA from 1 species